GGGCCGGUAGAUCAGUGGUAGAUCGCCGUCUUGGCAAGCAUCCCUCAAUAAUGAGUGACGCUCCAAAUUGGCGGAGGCCCCGGGUUCAAAUCCCGGCCGGUCCACCA
rnacentral:tRNA from 1 species